rnacentral:lncRNA from 1 species
GCUUUCCUUCCAAAAAUAACUUCUCCAGAAGGUUUCAUUCCGUUUUGACUCCGUUUGAUAUUCCUUUUCUUCGAAAUACUGAAACAAGGGAAAAAACAGGAACUGGCACUCGGCUCUGGGUCAAUAGGUUAUUCCCAAAAAUAAUAUAAAAGUGUUUAAUAAAGCCCAUAAACAUCCAAAACAGAUAAUAUAAUAGCAUGGAACAAUAAAAAAUUAUAGAUACGUUGGAGACGUAGCAGCAUCCCCAAGCUUAAUUCCUGCUCGUCCUCGAGUAGGUAAAUGAUAAAACGGAAUUUUUGAUGUGGAAUGCUACCUGACAUAUUUCUCAAUGUAAUUUUCUUUAUUGUGGCAAGAAUAUUCAGAUCCAUAAGAUUCAAGACAAAAGUUUAAUAUUGACAUGAAAACAAUAAUACUUCAAGCAUACUAACAAAGCAAUCAUGUCUUCUCAAAAUAACAUGGCCAAAGAAAGCUAUCCCUACAAAAUCAUAUAGUCUGGCUAUGCUCUAUCUUCAUCACACAAAAUAUUUAAAUCAUGCAGAAACCGGAUGACAAGCCAAGCAAUUGUUUCAUACUUUUGAUGUUCUCAAACUUUUUCAAUCUUCACGCAAUACAUGAGCGUGAGCCUUGGACAUAGCACUAUAGGUGGAAUAGAAUGGUGGUUGUGGAGAAGACAAAAAGGAGAAGAUAGUCUCACAUCAACUACGCGUAUCAACGGGCUAUGGAGAUGCCCAUCAAUAGAUAUCAAUGUGAGUGAGUAGGGAUUGCCAUGCAACGGAUGCACUAGAGUUAUAAGUGUAUGAAAGCUCAACAAAAGAAACUAAGUGGGUGUGCAUCCAACUCGCUUGCUCACGAAGACCUAGGGCAUUUUGAGGAAGCCCAUCAUUGGAAUAUACAAGCCAAGUUCUAUAAUGAAAGAUUCCCACUAGUAUAUGAAAGAGAAAACAUAGGAGACUCUCUAUCAUGAAGAUCAUGGUGCUACUUUGAAGCACAAGUGUGGUAAAAGGAUAGUAGCAUUGCCCCUUCUCUCUAUUCUCUCAUUUUUUUUAUUUGGGCCUUUUCACUUUUUUUAUGGCCUCUUUUUUUAUUUUUUUUCGUCCAGAGUCUCAUCCCGACUUGUGGGAGAAUCAUAGUCUCCAUCAUCCUUUCCUCACUGGGACAAUGCUCUAAAAAUGAUGAUCAUCACACUUUUAUUUACUUACAACUCAAGAAUUACAACUCAAUACUUAGAACAAGAUAUGACUCUAUAUGAAUGCCUCCGGCGGUGUACCGGGAUGUGCAAUGACUCAUGAGUGACAUGUAUGAAAGAAUUAUGAAUGGUGGCUUUGCCACAAAUACGAUGUCAACUACAUGAUCAUGCAAAGCAAUAUGACAAUGAUGGAGCGUGUCAUAAUAAACAGAGCAGUGGAAAGUUGAACGGCAAUAUAUCUCGGAAUGGCUAUGGAAAGGCCAUAAUAGGUAGGUAUGGUGGAUGUUUUGAGGAAGGUAUAUGGUGGGUGUAUGAUACUGGCGAAAGGUGCGCGGUAUUAGAGAGGCUAGCAAUGGUGGAAGGGUGAGAGUGCGUAUAAUCCAUGGACUCAACAUUAGUCAUAAAGAACUCAUAUACUUAUUGCAAAAAUCUAUUAGUUAUCGAAACGAAGUACUACGCACAUGCUCCUAGGGGGAUAGAUUGGUAGGAAAAGACCAUCGCUCGUCCCCGACUGACAGUCAUAAGGAGGACAAUCAAUAAAUAAAUCAUGUUCCGACUUCAUCACAUAACGGUUCACCAUACGCGCAUGCUACGGGAAUCACAAACUUUAACACAAUAUCUAUCAAAUUCACAACUACUCACUAGCAUGACUCUAAUAUCACCAUCUUCAUAUCUCAAAACAAUCAUAAGGAAUCAAACUUCUCAUAGUAUUCAAUGCACUUUAUAUGAAAGUUUUUAUUAUAUCCCUCUUGGAUGCCCAUCAUAUUAGGACUAAAUUCAUAACCAAAGCAAAUUACCAUGCUGUUCUAAAGACUCUCAAAAUAAUAUAAGUGAAGCAUGUGAGUUCAUCUAUUUCUUCAAAAUAAACCACCGCCGUGCUCUAAAAGGAUGUAUGUGAAGCUCUAGAGCAAAUGACAAACUACUCCGAAAGAUAUAAGUGAAGAUCAAUGAGUAGUUAAAUAAUUAUGUAGGUAUGAGAAGACUCUCUCUUAUUUAAGAAUUUCAGAUCUUGGUAUUUUAUUCAAACAGCAAUCAAAACAAAGGAAAAUAAAAAGACGCUCCAAGCAAAACACAUAUCAUGUGGUGAAUAAAAAUAUAGUUCCAAGUAAAGUUACCGAUGAACGAAGACGAAAGAGGGGAUAUCUUCCGGGGCAUCCCCAAGCUUAGGCUCUUGGUUAUCCUUGAAUAUUACCUUGGGGUGCCUUGGGAAUCCCCAAGCUCAGGCUGUUGCCACUCCUUAUUCCAUAGUCCAUUGAAUCUCUACCCAAAACUUGAAAACUUCACAACACAAAACUUAACAGAAAAUCUCCUGAGCUCCGUUAGCGAAAGAAAACAAAACACCACUUGAUGGUACUGUAAUGAACUCAUUCUUUAUUUUUAUUGGUGUUAAACCUACUGUAUUCCAACUUCUCUAUGGUUUAUAAACUAUUUUACUAGCCAUAGAUUCAUCAAAAUAAGCAAACAACACACGAAAAACAGAAUCUGUCGAAAACAGAACUGUCUGUAGUAAUCUGUAACUAACGCAAACUUCUGGAACUUCAAAAACAUCUACCAAAAUAGGAAGACCUAGAAAAGUUGUGUAUUGAUCUUCUGCAAUUGAAAUCAUUAUUUUAUCACGUUCUGGUGAUUUUAAACAAUUGUUUUCGUGAACAGAAAGUUUCUGGAAUUUUCAGCAAGAUCAAAUAACUAUCAUCCAAGAAGUUCCUAUAGGUCUUACUUGGCACAAACACUAAUUAAAACAUAAAACCACAUAUUAACAGAAGCUAGAUGAGUUAUUUAUUCCUAAACAGAACCAAAAAUCAAGAAACUAAAAUAAAAUUGGGUGGCCUCCCAACAAGCGCUAACGUUUAACGCCCCUAGCUAGGCAUGAUGAUUUCAAUCAUGCUCACAAAAAGAUAACAAUUGAAACAUAAAGAGAGCAUCAUGAAGAAUAUGACUAGCACAUUUAAGUCUAACCCACUUCCUAUGCAUAGGGAUUUUGUGAGCAAACAACUUAUGGGAACAAGAAUCAACUUGCAUAGGAAGGUAUAACAAGCAUAACUUCAAGAUUUUAAGCACAUAGAGAGGAAACUUGUUAUUAUUGCAAUUCAUAGAAGCAUAUGAUCCUCUCUCAUAAUAAUUUUCAGUAGCAUUAUGAAUGAAUUCAACCAUAUAACCAUCACAUAAAGCAUUCUUUUCAUGAUCUACAUGCAUAUAAUUUUUAUUACUCUCCACAUAAGAAAAUUUCUUCCCAUUCGGAACAGUGGGAGUAAACUCAACAAAACAACUAUCAUGUGAUUGAAAAUUAAGAUCAAGAUGACAAAUUUCAUGGUUAUCAUUAUUCUUUAUAGCAUACGUGUCAUCACAAUAAUCAUCAUAGAUAGGAGGCAUGCUUUCAUCAUAGUAAAUUUGCUCAUCAAAGCUUGGGGGACAAAAAAUAUCAUCUUCAUCAAACAUAGCUUCUCCAAGCUUGUGGCUUUGCAUAUCAUUAGCAUCAUGGAUAUUCAAGGAAUUCAUAAUAACAACAUUGCAAUCAUGCUCAUCAUAUAAAUAUUUAGUGCCAAACAUUCUAAUGCAUUCUUCUUCUAGAACUUGGGCACAAUUUUCCUUUCAAUCAUUUCCACGAAAGAUAUUAAAAAGAUGAAGCGUAUGAGACAAACUCAAUUCCUUUCAAUCAUCUUCUUCUUGUAGUUUUAUUUUUAUAAACUAAACUAGUGCUAAAACAAGAAACAAAAAGAUUCAAUUGCAAGAACUAAAGAUAUACCUUCAAACACUCACCUCCCCGGCAACGGCGCCAGAAACUUCUUAGUUGACGGGGUGUGAGUGUCGUUUACCUAGCCUCCCCCGCAACGGCGCCAGAAAAGAGCUUGAUGUCUACUACGCAACCUUCUUCUUGUAGACAUUGUUGGGCCUCCAAGUGCAGAGGUUUGUAGGACAGUAGCAAAUUUCCCUCAAGUGGAUGACCUAAGGUUUAUCAAUCCGUGGGAGGCAUAGGAUGAAGAUGGUCUCUCUCAAGCAAACCUGCAACCAAAUAACAAAGAGUCUCUUGUGUCCCCAACACACCCAAUACAAUGGUAAAUUGUAUAGGUGCACUAGUUCGGCGAAGAGAUGGUGAUACAAGUGCAAUAUGGAUGGUAGAUAUAGGUUUUUAUAAUCUGAAAAUAUAAAAACAGCAAGGUAGCAAGCGAUAAAAGUGAGCGUAAACGGUAUUGCAAUGCUAGGAAACAAGGCCUAGGGUUCAUACUUUCACUAGUGCAAGUUCACUCAACAAUAAUAACAUAAUUGGAUCAUAUAACUAUCCCUCAACAUGCAACAAUGAGUCACUCCAAAGUCACUAAUAGCGGAGAACAAAUGAAGAGAUUAUGGUAGGGUACGGAACCACCUCAAAGUUAUUCUUUCGGAUCGAUCUAUUCAAGAGUUCGUACUAGAAUAACACCUUAAGAAACAUAUAAACCAAAACCCUAAUGUCACCUAGAUACUCCAAUGUCACCUCAAGUAUCCGUGGGUAUGAUUAUACGAUAUGCAUCACACAAUCUCAGAUUCAUCUAUUCAAACCAACACAAAGUACUUAAAAGAGUGCCCCAAAGUUUCUACCGGAGAGUCAAGACGAAAACGUGUGCCAACCCCUAUGCAUAGGUUCAUGGGCGGAACCCGCAAGUUGAUCACCAAAACAUACAUCAAGUGAAUCAAUAGAAUACCCCAUUGUCACCACAGAUACGCACGGCAAGACAUACAUCAAGUGUUCUCAAAUCAUUAAAGACUCAAUCCGAUAAGAUAACUUCGAAGGGAAAACUCAAUCCAUUACAAGAGUGUAGAGGGGGAGAAGAAACAUAAGAUCCAACUAUAAUAGCAAUGCUCGCGAUACAUCAAGAUCGAGCCAAAUCAAGAACACGAGAGAGAGAGAGAGAGAUCAAACACAUAGCUACUGAUACAUACCCUCAGCCCCGAGGGUGAACUACUCCCUCCUUGUCAUGGAGAGCGCCGUGAUGAUGAAGAUGGCCACCGGUGAGGGAUCCCCCCUCCGGCAGGGUGCCGGACCAAGGUCCCGAUUGGUUUUUGGUGGCUACAGAGGCUUCCUGCGGCGGAACACCCGAUCUCUUCUGUUCCCCGAUCGUUUUAGGGUAUAUGGAUAUAUAUAGGCGGAAGAAAUACGUUAGGGGAGCCACGGGGGGCCCACAAGGGUGGAGGGCGCGCCCCCCUGCCUCGUUCCUCCCUCGUUUCUUUCUUGACGUGGAUUCCAAGUCUCACGGGUUGCUUUCCUUCCAAAAAUAACUUCUCCAGAAGGUUUCAUUCCGUUUUGACUCCGUUUGAUAUUCCUUUUCUUCGAAAUACUGAAACAAGGGAAAAAAACAGGAACUCGCACUGGGCUCUGGGUCAAUAGGUUAGUCCCAAAAAUAAUAUAAAAGUGUUUAAUAAAGCUCAUAAACAUCCAAAACAGAUAAUAUAAUAGCAUGGAACAAUCAAAAAUUAUAGAUACGUUGGAGAUGUAUCAUUCGUUAGCCACCACCAUAGCAAGGUCGUCAUCCGCCACCACCAUAGCAGGGUCGUCGUCAGCCAUAAUAGGCUGCUCCUCGUCAUCCCCGCUCUGCUCCCAUUG